CGGUAGCAGGAAGUGCUUGCACUUUGCUGACGAGUGGCGGACGGGUGAGUAAUACUUAGGAACAUGCCUUUGUGUGGGGGAUAACCAUUGGAAACGAUGGCUAAUACCGCAUAAUGUCUUUGGACCAAAGAGGGCUUUCGGGCUCUCGCGCAAAGAGUGGCCUAAGUGAGAUUAGCUUGUUGGUGAGGUAAAGGCUCACCAAGGCGACGAUCUCUAGCUGUUCUGAGAGGAAGAUCAGCCACACUGGGACUGAGACACGGCCCAGACUCCUACGGGAGGCAGCAGUGGGGAAUAUUGCACAAUGGGGGCAACCCUGAUGCAGCCAUGCCGCGUGUGUGAAGAAGGCCUUCGGGUUGUAAAGCACUUUCAGUUGUGAGGAAAGGUUGAUGGUUAAUACCCAUCAGCUGUGACGUUAGCAACAGAAGAAGCACCGGCUAACUCCGUGCCAGCAGCCGCGGUAAUACGGAGGGUGCGAGCGUUAAUCGGAAUUACUGGGCGUAAAGCGCACGCAGGCGGUUAUAUAAGCUAGAUGUGAAAGCCCCGGGCUCAACCUGGGAAUAGCAUUUAGAACUGUAUGACUAGAGUCUUGGAGAGGGGAGUGGAAUUCCAG
rnacentral:rRNA from 1 species